AUGCCGAAGCUGCCGCGCCGUCCCAGACACCCACCACUCCUCCGGCUUUGCGGCGCACAGGCGCGGGCCGCCGCCUCGGGGCCCUCGCGGUCCCGCUGGAGAGUCCGCCGUCGAGCAGCCGUUCCGGCCCCGCAGCAGCAGCGCUCGCGCUCGCGGAUGGCGCCUACAGCGGCGUUGCGCCCGGCACCCACCUCCGCGGUGGCUCCUCCUCCAGGACGAGCGCAGCGGGAGAUCUUCUCUCCGCCGGUGAUGCGGCCGGCCAGCCGGCGCUGGGGUCCUCCGCCGGUCUCUGCUGUGGAUUUGGGAUCGAAGUGA
rnacentral:rRNA from 1 species